GAUAAUUCUUUUAGCUUAUCAUUCACAAGUUCUUCCAUAUUGUAAAUACACACAUUUAGAUUCUCAUAAAGCUUCAAAGCUUCUGCCACUACUCUAUCCACAAAUGGUUUGAAAUCUUUGGAACAUACAUUCAAUUGACGCUCCAAUUUAUUUUGAGCUUUUACCAUCUAUACAAAGUUCUCCUAGGUUACUUGUACUAUGAGUAUCUAGUCAUCCUAAAAUCCAUGUCAGUUGUGUCUAUCAUGAGAGGUGUAGGUACGGAACAGAAGCUAUUCAAGUGCCCUGUGGAACAAAAGUAGCUAAAGGUAAUGACAUACCUGAAGGUGAAAAUAAUGCCUCUAGAGCGGGUUCAGUCUGUGUCUCAAAUAUCGGAGGCUUAUGAACUCUCAUUUUAAAUUUUAUGUCAUCCUUUAUCCUCUCAAUAUCUUGCCUUCUAGUAGCUCAAAUCUCAUUAUCCACUCUAUUGAUAAUCAAGACAUAUGCCUGCCUACAUAUUUCCAUGAUUAAGAAUUGGAAUGGUACUGCGCUGGUUGUCUUAUAAUCUCAUACAAACUUCUCAUCACCAAUUAUUUUCCCAAAUUCAUUUUUCAACCCUUCUAUCAAACUUUCCACCAGCACCGCCCUUUGAGGAAUAAAAUUAGCAUCUUCUCUUAUCAGCAUAAGUCUUAGCGUGACUAUAGCCUACCAAAAUUUUGCCCUAAAACUUUGGGAUGAUUUUACAAUACUCUCCUUAUUUUGAAGCCAUGAUGGGUUUCCAUUAUCGGUCAAGAUCUGAGCUAGCCAUGGCUUUUGAUUAUGUGUCAUAGUCUUACAAUAUUCCAGUUCUGAUGUGAUAGUAGAAGCGAUGUACUUCUAACUAAAUAAAAUUUAGUUGAUGGUAUGAUCAAAGAUAUUAACUCUCACACCUCUCAUUAGGACUCUUGCUUUGUUCCUCAUAUCUGCAACUUUAGAUCCCUUCAGGCAAUCUUUCUCCAACAUCACUAUGUAAUUUGCAAAAAAUUUACAUACCAAGUUUGAAUUGUAUGACCAAGGAGGUUUACUCUGACAUACUAGCUCAUACUCGUUGAACCUCUUUUCUAGGUUUGGGUACUCAUGAAGGUCAAUUGUCAUGAUAUGAUGUUCUUCUAUAAUGGGCAUCUUCAUAGGUCUCUUUUGUGUUGGAUGAAGUCCAUCAAAGAUGUGCUUCUUUGCUCUCUCAAUCUUUUCUCUGAUCAAUUCCUGAACUCCUGGGUCCUCAUGCUAGAUCACAUCUCUUUCUUUCUAUUAUGUCUCUAUUUCAGGAUUAGUGGUGACUUUUUUUUCUCCUCUAACCUCAAGGAUGGAGCUUGUGCUACCAUUACUGCUGCUUUCAAUACUAGCCCCUGCACUUGAUG
rnacentral:lncRNA from 1 species